GGAUCACCCCAGCCGGCUGGCCGACACUAGGACCCUUCGCCGCGUCACACAGGGCCUUGUAAUACCCUCUGGGGUGCUGGGCAGCAGCGGCUGAGAAGUUUGGUGGCAGUGCUGGCGGGGAAGGGCUCUGGCUUCAGCCACUAGUGUCCUAGAGGCUUUCCACCAAGAGAGACCACAAAACCAAAUCACAUAAGUGGAGAACAAGGGGAGCCAGCGCUGAAAGCCAGCAUCGUGGAGAGACAGCUUUCAUCCUGCUCACUUCAACCUUGACAGCUAAAAUUGAUCACCUGGAUGACAGAAGUGAUGCAGACAAACCGCAGCCCGCCGAGCAAACCUGGAAGCUCACAACCCACCAGGCUGGGAGGACCGAGGGAGUUAACACACGUGAAACCCUGGGAGCUGGCCCCGGCCCACUGAUUGGGCUCAGGCACGAGGCUACGCUUAGCUCUGACCAUAUCAGAAGGAACACAAGGUCCAGCCUUUUAUAUGGAGCAUUCCCAGGAGGCAAACCCAGAGGCAUUCUCCCCUCUCCUUUCUCAUUUCACCCGUCCUUGUCGUCACUCCUCUCCAAGGAGCCUGCAAGAAGGGCCUGUGCCCAGAACAGUCAGGAUUUCUACUUCAAGACGUGCCCUGGGACCAUAGUAGGGACAUGGCUUUACACCUUUCCAAAUGCGGUCACAGUCAUCAUCUGACGCCACCCUACAACUGUGAUAAGAAACCACUUUCUCCAAGUCUCGUUCCCCAUCCUGUAGGGCAGGAUCCUGAGGCAUCUCAGGGUGGGGAUGCUUGGAGAUGAAGACACUGGGGAAGCCGACCUGCCACCUUGGCCAAUGGCACCUGCUUUACUUCCACCAUGAUCGGCGCAUCAGAAGAGCAGCCUCAGGCAGGUGCCCAGAAUUGGGGGAAUUUCUCUCAAAGAGGAUCACCCUCUGACCAACCAAUAUAAUAUCUAUCUAUCUCCACUCUUCUUCGAAGCUGCAUUUCUCAGCACAAACCCACGAACUGGCAGCAUGACCAGUAUCCCUAAGGAAGAGGAAGCCAAGAAGGAGAUGCCUUCAGUCCUCUGCCUGUCACCUGCCAGAGAACCAGGAUGCUUGGUGGGGUUGGCCUUCCUUUCUCCAAACUGCCAUCAGUUGUGACGUCACUGUCAGCUGUGCCUGGUGUCUAACUUUUCAUCUGUAUCAAUCAGCAUUGAGAGUCCGCUGGGUGCCCAGGUCGGGAGGCUCGGCCCCAGGCUGAUGGUCCUCAGCUCCUAGUCCCCAUGCCCUUGGAUAUGCUCUCCCUGCCUUGAAUCGGGACUUCCUGUGUGACCAACAGCAUAGGAUGCAGAGAACAGUGUGUGACUUCUGAAGCAAAGUCAUAAAGGGCAUGGUGGCUUCUGCUUUGAUCUCUUGGAUAGCCAGCCACCGUGUCAUGAGAACACUCAAGUAGCCCCUGGGGAGAGGUCCUCAUGGAGAGGAACUAAGGCCUCCUGCCAACAGCCGUGCGAACAAACCAUUUUGGAGCCAGAUCCUCCAGCCCCAGUCAGACCUUCAGCUGACUGCAGCCCAGCCAACAUCUGACCUUAACUUCAUGAGAGAUUGGAGCCCGAUGCACCCAGCCGGGCUGCUCCCGAGUUCCUGACCCACAGAAGCUGCAAGUUGUGGAGUGCCUACAGUGGCCAGGCGUGUCCAAAUGCUCUGUAUGCUUGAACUCAUUGGAUCUUCUUGACAACCCCACACGGCAGUCUCCUCUUUCUCGAAGUGACUCAAAAGUGUUCCCCACCCGCUGCCUGGAAAGGCAUUGCCCGGCAGGUUCACCGGGUCAGAGGAAAAGCCCUUGGCAUCCGGAACACCGGCCCACAGACGUCAGCAGGGAGCAAGGACGGCCAGGAGGAGGGAAGUGAUAACUCCCUUUCGGGCUUGGGGCUUG